rfam:Schistosoma mansoni, Puerto Rico, WGS project CABG01000000 data, contig: 0180
AUCCAGCUGACGAGCACCAAAUAGGACGAAACGCGCGUCCUGGAU